CAGAGACUGCAAGCGUUAUUCGGAUUCACUGGGCGUAAAGGGUGCGCAGGCGGUUGGGUGUGUCAGAUGUGAAAUCCCGAGGCUUAACCUCGGAACUGCGUCUGAAACUACUCGACUAGAGUACUGGAGAGGGUAACGGAAUUCACGGUGUAGCAGUGAAAUGCGUAGAUAUCGUGAGGAACACCAGAGGCGAAGGCGGUUACCUGGACAGUUACUGACGCUCAGGCACGAAAGCAUGGGGAGCAAAAGGGAUUAGAUACCCCUGUAGUCCAUGCCCUAAACGGUGCACACUAGGUCUUAGCGGAUUCGACCCCGCUAGGGCCCAAGCUAACGCGUUAAGUGUGCCGCCUGAGGACUACGGUCGCAAGACUA
rnacentral:rRNA from 1 species